rnacentral:rRNA from 1 species
GAUCCCGCCGGACCUGACUGCUAUCGGAUUGAUACUAAGCCAUGCGAGUCAUUGUAGCAAUACAAGGCAGACGGCUCAGUAACGCGUAGUCAACCUAACCUAUGGACGGGAAUAACCUCGGGAAACUGAGAAUAAUGCCCGAUAGAACAUUAUGCCUGGAAUGGUUUAUGUUCCAAAUGAUUUAUCGCCGUAGGAUGGGACUGCGGCCUAUCAGUUUGUUGGUGAGGUAAUGGCCCACCAAGACUAUUACAGGUACGGGCUCUGAGAGGAGUAGCCCGGAGAUGGGUACUGAGACACGGACCCAGGCCCUAUGGGGCGCAGCAGGCGAGAAAACUUUGCAAUGUGCGAAAGCACGACAAGGUUAAUCCGAGUGGUUUCUGCUAAAGGAACCUUUUGUCGGUCCUAGAAACACCGAUGAAUAAGGGGUGGGCAAGUUCUGGUGUCAGCCGCCGCGGUAAAACCAGCACCUCAAGUGGUCAGGAUGAUUAUUGGGCCUAAAGCAUCCGUAGCCUGCUUUGUUAGUUUUCGGUUAAAUCUGUACGCUCAACGUACAGGCUGCCGGGAAUACUGCAAAGCUAGGGAGUGGGAGAGGUAGACGGUACUCGGUAGGAAGGGGUAAAAUCCUUUGAUCUAUUGAUGACCACCUGUGGCGAAGGCGGUCUACCAGAACACGUCCGACGGUGAGGGAUGAAAGCUGGGGGAGCAAACCGGAUUAGAUACCCGGGUAGUCCCAGCCGUAAACCAUGCAAACUCAGUGAUGCAUUGGCUUGUGGCCAAUGCAGUGCUGCAGGGAAGCCGUUAAGUUUGCCGCCUGGGAAGUACGUACGCAAGUAUGAAACUUAAAGGAAUUGGCGGGGGAGCACCACAAGGGGUGAAGCCUGCGGUUCAAUAGGAGUCAACGCUGGGAAUUCCGAA